rnacentral:rRNA from 1 species
GUGCCAGCAGCCGCGGUAAUACGAAGGGGGCUAGCGUUGCUCGGAAUUACUGGGCGUAAAGGGAGCGUAGGCGGACAUUUAAGUCAGGGGUGAAAUCCCGGGGCUCAACCUCGGAAUUGCCUUUGAUACUGGGUGUCUUGAGUAUGAGAGAGGUGUGUGGAACUCCGAGUGUAGAGGUGAAAUUCGUAGAUAUUCGGAAGAACACCAGUGGCGAAGGCGACACACUGGCUCAUUACUGACGCUGAGGCUCGAAAGCGUGGGGAGCAAACAGGAUUAGAUACCCUGGUAGUCC